rnacentral:lncRNA from 1 species
GGGUUGAAUCGGAGCUGUAGCCACCGGCCUAUGCCAGAGCCACAGCAACGAGGGAUCCGAGCCGCGUCUGCAACCUACACCACAGCUCACGGCAACGCUGGAUCCUUAACCCACUGAGCAAGGGCAGGGACCGAACCCGCAACCUCAUGGUUCCUAGUUGGAUUCGUUAACCACUGCGCCACGACGGGAACUCCACUUUCCCACUUUUAAAACAAAAUGUUGGCCAGUACCCGUGGUCACUAGCUUGCUCUGCUCCCCAAUGACCAAGCCUUUUCUUUCUGUACUUUCAGCACCUAAAAAUUCUUGGCAGAAAGGAAGCAAUCAAUAUAUGUCUGGCACGAUGACCCAGUGAGGCUCGUCCAGAAUGAAUGGACCUGAAACUACCAUAUAUAGAACAGCUGAUGCAACUGGGGAGGAGUUUUAGCCUUGGAAAUGAAUAGUGAGAGACAAAAUUGUUGCAAAUAUCAAGCUAGGGCACGCGGUCUGCGCAACUAUUUAGGGCUGCUUUUAGGUAAAAUACACAUUUGGCAAUUGACCUUGGUCCCCACUAAUCCUGUUCAUCCCUCUACCUUCCAUUUCUUUACUUGCCCAGCCCCUAAAGGCAUUUAGCUUUCAUUUUUGUAAGAGAAAUUUGGGCUUUGCCCAAAUGGAAGUCCCAAAUGUCAGCUUAUUAGUUAAGAAUAUUAGCCAACUCAGGGUUUUUCCAGGGAUUAAAAUGAAACAGAGUAUGUCAUGAAAGUGCUUGCCAAAACAUCUGGCAAUGGGUUCAAGAAAGACACCAUUAUCAUGGAGGUUUCGAUGCUUUCUAUAAAGCACUAGAAUAUUACUUCACAUUGUGACCCUAAAUUUUAUACUCACUAUAUUCCCUAAAGAAUACCUUAAUAAAUAUUUUACGACCAGGAAAAAAAUGCAGUUACAAGGAGUCUGAUUUUGGCCUAAUAAACCAUACUUCUAUAACAUUCCUAACAGGAAUGAGAUUAUAAACCUGAAUGUUCAAAUAAAACAUUCCUCAGGGGACAUCCAAGAGGCUUUAUGGUCUCUGCUCUUCAGACUCUACAACUGCACACACAUGGAAAACUACACGUGUGAUGUACAUUAGAAUGUGGCCAUCUCCAUGGAUAUGGAAAGAUACACUAAAUAGAGUAAGUGAGAAAAAAUUGUACAAAUAUACAAUGGGAGUUUUUUUCCUUUUUAGGGCCACUCCUAUAGCAUAUGAAAGUUCCCAGGCUAGGGGUCAAAUUGGAGCUGGAUCUGCAGCUGCCAGCCUAUGCCACAGUCACAGCAAUGCCAGAUCAAAGCUGCCUCUUCGACCUAUACCACAGCUCAUGGCAAUGCCAGGUUCUUAACCCCCUGAGAAAGGCCAAGGAUGGAACCCGCAUCUUCAUGGAUCCUAGUUGGGUUCAUUUCCGCUGAGCCACAAUGGGAACUCCUGAGUUUUUUCCUUUUUUGAAAAAGGAUAUAGAUACGUGCUUAGAACAUUUCCAGAAGGGCAUAUACAACCUUGGGACUGAGCUAUUUACAACGCCCACCCCCCUUAUUUUGGCCACAUGCAUGGCAUGUGGAAGUUCCUGGGCCAGGGAUCAAACCCGUGACAGCAAUGACCCAAGCCACAGAAGUGAUAACAGAUCUUUUAAGCUGCUGAGCCACCCCCACAUACCAUUCUAUUUUGAUUUUUCCCCCUUACUAGCAGCGUUAUUACCCUUAAAAAAAGGACCGAAUAAUUUGGUUUGGCCAAAACCUUCUGGUCUGAGCUUUGCUUUGCAAACACCGCCCAAGAUAAACUUUAUAUAUUUCCUCAUAACUUCAACAUCAAGGUCCAAGAACUUUAAUUAGACUACUCAACUUUCCAGCCUACCUUCCCAUCACC